UUGCGGCCAUAUCACGUUGAUGCACCAGUUCACGUAUUGAUCAUUGAAGUUAAGCAACGUCGUUGAACCGGGUCAGUACCUAAAUGGGUGACCGCUUGGGAAUACCAGAUGCUGUAUG